rnacentral:rRNA from 1 species
AUUGAACGCUGGCGGCAGGCCUAACACAUGCAAGUCGAGCGCGCGGCGCCCGGGUGAGUAAUGUCUGUGAAACUGCCUGAUGGAGGGGGAUAACUCCUGGAAACGGUAGCUAAUACCGCAUACCAUCAGAUGUGCCCACAUGGGAUUAGCUAGAAGGUGGGGUAAUGGCUCACCUCGGCGACGAUCCCUAGCUGGUCUGAGAGGAUGACCAGACAGACUGGAACUGAGACACGGUCCAGAAUCCGACGGGAGGCAGCAGUGGGGAAUAUUGCACAAUGGGCGCAAGCCUGAUGCAGCCAUGCCGCGUGUAUGAAGAAGGCCGUAGGGUUGUAAAGCACUUUCAGCGGGGAGGCGUUACCCGCAGAAGAAGCACCGGCUAACUCCGUGCCAGCAGCCGCGGUAAUUC